AUGUGACACUUUUUGAAUUUCGAGAUUCAAACAAGUCUAUCUUUGACCGUAAAUUUUUCAUACAUCUUUUUAAUAUUUUGUGUUGUUGUGACUUAUAGUACUUUUUAUGUAGUUUAUAAAUAUAUAAAUUUCAUUUCAAAAAAAUUAAAGAUUACAUGGGUAAAUUAUCGGUCAAACUUAAACUGUUUGACUCUCGAAAAAUGAAAAGUACCACAUAA
rfam:Solanum tuberosum cultivar DM 1-3 516 R44 scf00214_117, whole genome shotgun sequence.